rnacentral:lncRNA from 1 species
ACCUGUUUGACUUUCCAGAAAGAGCAAAGCAAAAGACAGAAGAAGAGGUCGUGUGUAUUUGAGACUGGUGCUUUUCUUUCAAGGAAAGGUUCUGAGGUGAGAGUGGCUGGCAGCUAAUUUUUCUUUCCCCUGGCUGCAGGUUGUAGGCCAAGUAGCAGAAAUGUAUUUAUUUUUAUUAGACAGAAGAGGAAUCAUAGGAUUUUGGAGCUAAGAGACACCUUCCAGCUGCCAAGAACAUUGCUGAAAGUCACUGGAAAUUAGGACAACUCCUUUCCAGAUUUCUCUGAAGCUGUUUGACCUAUUCAAAGAUUGGGUGUUUGUUGAGAUUCCAUAAUUAUUGGGUAAAGUAUUGGGUCAUAAGUGUUGGGUCAAAAGGUUUUUUAUUUUUUUUAAUUACAUUUAGAAAUCUUGAUAGUAAAUAAAGGAGAUAGCUCCUAAAUCUGAAAU